rnacentral:rRNA from 1 species
CCCUUAGAGUUUGAUCCUGGCUCAGGACGAACGCUGGCGGCGCGCCUAACACAUGCAAGUCGAACGAGAGAGAAGGAGCUUGCUUCUUCGAUCGAGUGGCGAACGGGUGAGUAACGCGUGAGGAACCUGCCUCAAAGAGGGGGACAACAGUUGGAAACGACUGCUAAUACCGCAUAAGCCCACGGGUCGGCAUCGACCAGAGGGAAAAGGAGCAAUCCGCUUUGAGAUGGCCUCGCGUCCGAUUAGCUAGUUGGUGAGGUAAUGGCCCACCAAGGCGACGAUCGGUAGCCGGACUGAGAGGUUGAACGGCCACAUUGGGACUGAGACACGGCCCAGACUCCUACGGGAGGCAGCAGUGGGGAAUAUUGCACAAUGGGGGAAACCCUGAUGCAGCGACGCCGCGUGGAGGAAGAAGGUCUUCGGAUUGUAAACUCCUGUUGUUGAGGAAGAUAAUGACGGUACUCAACAAGGAAGUGACGGCUAACUACGUGCCAGCAGCCGCGGUAAAACGUAGGUCACAAGCGUUGUCCGGAAUUACUGGGUGUAAAGGGAGCGCAGGCGGGAAGACAAGUUGGAAGUGAAAUCCAUGGGCUCAACCCAUGAACUGCUUUCAAAACUGUUUUUCUUGAGUAGUGCAGAGGUAGGCGGAAUUCCCGGUGUAGCGGUGGAAUGCGUAGAUAUCGGGAGGAACACCAGUGGCGAAGGCGGCCUACUGGGCACCAACUGACGCUGAGGCUCGAAAGUGUGGGUAGCAAACAGGAUUAGAUACCCUGGUAGUCCACACCGUAAACGAUGAUUACUAGGUGUUGGAGGAUUGACCCCUUCAGUGCCGCAGUUAACACAAUAAGUAAUCCACCUGGGGAGUACGACCGCAAGGUUGAAACUCAAAGGAAUUGACGGAAGGGCG